rnacentral:rRNA from 1 species
AUUGAACGCUGGCGGAAUGCUUUACACAUGCAAGUCGAACGGCAGCACGGACUUCGGUCUGGUGGCGAGUGGCGAACGGGUGAGUAAUGUAUCGGAACGUGCCCAGUCGUGGGGGAUAACGUAGUGAAAAUUACGCUAAUACCGCAUACGAUCUAUGGAUGAAAGCGGGGGAUCGCAAGACCUCGCGCGAUUGGAGCGGCCGAUAUCAGAUUAGGUAGUUGGUGGGGUAAAGGCCCACCAAGCCAACGAUCUGUAGCUGGUCUGAGAGGACGACAAGCAACACGGGAACUGAGACACGGACCAGACUCCUACGGGAAGCAGCAGUGGGGAAUUUUGGACAAUGGGCGAAAGCCUGAUCCAGCCAUUCCGCGUGCAGGAUGAAGGCCCUCGGGUUGUAAACUGCUUUUGUACAGAACGAAAAGGUUUCUACUAAUACUAGGAGCUCAUGACGGUACUGUAAGAAUAAGCACCGGCUAACUACGUGCCAGCCGCCGCGGUAA